rnacentral:rRNA from 1 species
CAGCCGCCACGGUAAUCCGUAGGGUGCAAGCGUUAAUCGGAAUUACUGGGCGUAAAGCGUGCGCAGGCGGUUGUGUAAGACAGGUGUGAAAUCCCCGGGCUUAACCUGGGAACUGCGCUUGUGACUGCACAGCUAGAGUAUGGCAGAGGGGGGUGGAAUUCCACGUGUAGCAGUGAAAUGCGUAGAGAUGUGGAGGAACACCGAUGGCGAAGGCAGCCCCCUGGGCCAAUACUGACGCUCAUGCACGAAAGCGUGGGGAGCAAACAGGAUUAGAGACCCGUGUAGUCCCUGUCUCUUAUAC